UUUUGUUCUAACUACAUGAUGUUGCUUAUAUAGUCUCGUUCGUAUGAAAUAAGUGAUUCUAAUCUUUACCACCAUUCUGAUCCUCAUUCAGUACUUAUUAAUAUACUGAUAUAUAAGAAACCACUAAUGUUUAUGUCACUUCUUACAGAUUAAAACAACAGUCAGCAAGAUCUGCAGAGUAAUAUUAUAAGUUUUAUAAUGGCUUGAAUAUUUGAAAUUACAAAUUGCCUUGUGUAUCCUACAAAACUCACAGCUGGUGAUACCAAAUCAGAUUACCUUGUGUACCCAACCAGGCUCACAGCUGGUAAUAGCAAAUCAGGUAUCUGGAUGAAUAAAAGAAGUACUGAUACAAAACAUACAAAAUCAUAUUUAGAAAAUCCGACACUCAAAAUUAUACAAUUUGAUGACAGUUAUUACAAAUCGAAUAUACAAAUAAGAAGCUGUUUCACACUACUUGGAUCAUUAUUGGCCUGUCUAUUUUUAUAAAUUACAAUGGACUAACAUUGUGAGACUUAACAAUCCUGGGAUUUACUUAAAGGUGCAAAAUAUCUUUCAAAGCAGACAAGACAUCUACCUCAAUUUUAGCAAUUUUGCAACUAGAGUACCAAAGCUGACUUCGCCCUGUAUUCUACAAAAUCAUUCAAAUUUAAUUUAGUAUUAGGAUGUGUCAUGUCAUUUUCUCUGUAUGAUAUUUAAUAAAGCUCAAGACAUCAUUGUGAAUGAAAUGAUAUGACACAUCCUAAUACUAAAUUAAAUUUGAUUGAUGACAUGAAAUAUGAAUUAGCAUAUGGACUAAGUGGGAAGAAAUACUAUGAAGAACUUAAAUACUGUACCUGUAGGGGUUAUAUUCCAUCUCAAAUGAAGUUACCUUCUAAAAUUAUGAAGAGAAAAGAGCUACUGUGAUGAAAAAAUUGAAGUUGCCCAGACUAGAUAUCCUAGAAACUACAAAGGUACAUGCAUAGUACGUAGUCCUGACUGCAGAUAAACAACUGAUUUGUGCAAAUAAAAUAUAAAUGUAUUUAAUUAA